ensembl:lncRNA
CAGCAGGCCCAUGUGGUUGGGAAGAGAGGAAGAUCAGCAACCAGGAGUUAGAGAUUUCCUGCAAUCUGAGAAGAAUACAGAAAUCCAGUAGUGUGCUUGUCACCAGCUAAGCCUUCCCAAACACCUGCUCAUUCUGGCAUCUGCUCUUCAGGAAGUCCUCUCUCCCAGAUGACUCCACAGCCACCUCUCUGCAGGAAUUAGACUCUGGAGGGGUCUUCAGUGUGUGGGGACAAACAGCAGAGUCAUAGUCGCCUUUCCUGAGCACCUUAUCCAUUCAUUCAGCCCAUAAACAGCACGUGUUUUAGGGACUUCCUUAAGGAAGCUCACCUUCUACUGGAUGAGAUGACCCCAUGAGCAAAUUGUGAGAUCACUGUUCAGUGCUCUAGAGAGGGACACAACCACCCUACAGGACAUGAGAGGACUUCUAGAC